rnacentral:tRNA from 1 species
GGUUGCAGCUCAGUGUUAGAGCACUUGCCUAGCAUGCGUGAGGCCUUGGGUUCGAUCCCCAGAACCA